CGAACGGGUGAGUAAUACAUCGGAACGUGUCCGCUCGUGGGGGACAACCAGCCGAAAGGUUGGCUAAUACCGCAUGAGUUCUACGGAAGAAAGAGGGGGACCCGCAAGGGCCUCUCGCGAGCGGAGCGGCCGAUGACUGAUUAGCCGGUUGGUGAGGUAACGGCUCACCAGAGCAACGAUCAGUAGCUGGUCUGAGAGGACGACCAGCCACACUGGGACUGAGACACGGCCCAGACUCCUACGGGAGGCAGCAG
rnacentral:rRNA from 1 species